CGGGGGGGCGUGCUUACCAUGCAAGUCGAACGAUGAAGCCCUUCGGGGUGGAUUAGUGGCGAACGGGUGAGUAACACGUGGGCAAUCUGCCCUGCACUCUGGGACAAGCCCUGGAAACGGGGUCUAAUACCGGAUACUGAUCGCCUUGGGCAUCCUUGGUGAUCGAAAGCUCCGGCGGUGCAGGAUGAGCCCGCGGCCUAUCAGCUUGUUGGUGAGGUAAUGGCUCACCAAGGCGACGACGGGUAGCCGGCCUGAGAGGGCGACCGGCCACACUGGGACUGAGACACGGCCCAGACUCCUACGGGAGGCAGCAGUGGGGAAUAUUGCACAAUGGGCGAAAGCCUGAUGCAGCGACGCCGCGUGAGGGAUGACGGCCUUCGGGUUGUAAACCUCUUUCAGCAGGGAAGAAGCGAAAGUGACGGUACCUGCAGAAGAAGCGCCGGCUAACUACGUGCCAGCAGCCGCGGUAAUACGUAGGGCGCGAGCGUUGUCCGGAAUUAUUGGGCGUAAAGAGCUCGUAGGCGGCUUGUCGCGUCGGUUGUGAAAGCCCGGGGCUUAACCCCGGGUCUGCAGUCGAUACGGGCAGGCUAGAGUUCGGUAGGGGAGAUCGGAAUUCCUGGUGUAGCGGUGAAAUGCGCAGAUAUCAGGAGGAACACCGGUGGCGAAGGCGGAUCUCUGGGCCGAUACUGACGCUGAGGAGCGAAAGCGUGGGGAGCGAACAGGAUUAGAUACCCUGGUAGUCCACGCCGUAAACGGUGGGCACUAGGUGUGGGCGACAUUCCACGUCGUCCGUGCCGCAG
rnacentral:rRNA from 1 species